rnacentral:lncRNA from 10 species
AAAAUUACCAGUGAUAGUUACUACCAUUAUAUGUCCUAGUCUCCAAAUACCUAGUACUUACCUGUAAUCAAGAAAUGAUUUGAAGAGCUAAGUAUGUUAUAGUUCCCAGGAUGCUGCUUAUGGUUUUCUGGCUGCUCUUUAACUUUAAUGAAUAUUCAAUGGCUUAUUAUUAUUCCAAAUGAGAGAGAACAACAUUGAUUUCUUUAUUGUAAUGUUCUCAAGGUCAAUCUACAUUAUAAAUGAGUAGGCAGGCUGGAUACUUGGGAAAAUUUGAAGAUGCCACAUGUCCCCAUUACCACAUUGAAAUUAUUGGGGUCAAGGAUAUGGUCUCUGCUACCAUGUAACAUUUUUAAAAUCAAUUUUUAUUUUUAUACAAAUGAUAAAUGCACAUAAUUUAAAAAAUCAAAUAGUAGUACAAAACUUAAAACAGCAUAAAACAGAAGUUACAUUCUUGGACCACUUUAACUUUGUUGGAUUUUACCCCCCUCAAUAAUUUGCUUAAAUUUUAUUUCUUUUAUUUCUUCUAUAUUAAGAACUAUAAAGUCCUUCCUCAUAUUAUUUUCCACAUAAUCAAGUGUAUCAGGAAUCUAUUAGACUCACUAAUUUUAAUCAAAGACCUGUCUCCCAAAGCCAUCCAUCAUCCCAUAUUAAUCUGUACUGUUGCUACAUGGCUAUUGUCUGGAAUUUUAUUGAGUUACUAUCCUGGGAUUUCCCUUUAUCUUUCUGUAUUAGACCCUCUGUUUCUUGGAACCUAUGUCAUCCAUCUUGAUGUACUCCCUUGUUUUGAUAGUGUAUAUCCUUUAGUGGCUUCCUAAGAAAAAGUGCAUAGAUAGUAAAAUUUUGAGACCUUGCAUAGCUGAUAGUUUUAUUCUAAUCUCACUCUUGGUUGAUUAGUUUAACAGGGUAGAAAAUUUCAGGUUGAAUACCAGUUUUCUUCAGUAUUUGAAGGUGUUAUUUUAUUGAUUUCGAACUUUCAACAUUGCUGUUGAAAUCUGAAGUUAUUCUGAUUCUGAUCUUUUGUAUAUAAGUCUUUAUGACCUCUAAAAGUUUUCAGAAUUCUGUUUGUUUAUGGAAUUCUGAAAGUUGAUGAUGUACCAUAGUGGAAUACUUUUACAUUUAUUGUACUGGGUAUUCCAAAGGCCCUUUUUAUCCAAAAACUCAUGUCUUUUAGUGCUGGAAAUUUUUCUUUUGUUAUUUUCAUAUUUUUCUUCCCCUUUUUUCUCUUUUCGCUUUCUGGAAUGCCUGUUGGUCAAAUGUCAGAUUUUCUGACUCAUUCUAUACAAUUAGAAAGCACACCCAAGUUUCACUGUGGAACUACUCCAGUGAGCCCUUCAGUGUGGUCAUCUCUGGGCAGAGAUACUAUAGAUUUACUGCUAACAUUGGGAAUUGGAAACUAGAAUCUCUUCUGAGAUUCUAAAAGCAGGGUGUUUCUGCUGCCAUCCUUGCUGCCCUUUGCCACAUGCUUCUUCACUUUAUGUGUUUUCAAAUCACAGUUGCCCAUGGGUGUGUCUGAUGAGGGAAAGGUCACAUACCUGUACCCUAGCUGCAAAAGAGCUGGAGAUUUCAGGCUCGUUGUUAAGGGUCUGCGGAUUCAUAAGGUCAGAAAUUCCAUGAACACAGAAAAAGUAUUCAAAAGGUACUCAGCAGCUAGUGAAUUCAACUGGGGACAGUUGGAACUUCAGGAUGUUUGAUGACUGGGGAGAGGGUCUUUGUUAAGAAAAAGCAAUAAUAUGAAAUAUUAAUGCUUUCCAAUUUUAUCAAGAUGAUAGCAUUUUUGUGUACUGAAUUACAUGCAUA